rnacentral:rRNA from 1 species
UACGUAGGGGGCAAGCGUUGUCCGGAAUCAUUGGGCGUAAAGCGCGUGUAGGCGGUCCGGUAAGUCCGCUGUGAAAGUCGGGGGCUCAACCCUCGGAUGCCGGUGGAUACUGUCGGGCUUGAGUACGGAAGAGGCGAGUGGAAUUCCUGGUGUAGCGGUGAAAUGCGCAGAUAUCAGGAGGAACACCAAUUGCGAAGGCAGCCUCGCUGGGACGUUACUGACGCUGAGACGCGAAGCGUGGGGAGCAAACAG